GACGAACGCUGGCGGCGUGCUUAACACAUGCAAGUCGAACGGGAUUUAGUAGACAGAAGCCUCGGCUAAAGAUUACUAAUGAGAGUGGCGAACGGGUGAGUAACGCGUGAGCAACCUGCCUAUGACAGUGGGAUAGCCUCGGGAAACCGGGAUUAAUACCGCAUAAAAUCGUAGAAACACAUGUUUUAACGUUCAAAGAUUUAUCGGUCAUAGAUGGGCUCGCGUCUGAUUAGCUAGUUGGUGAGAUAACAGCCCACCAAGGCGACGAUCAGUAGCCGGUAUGAGAGGAUGAACGGCCACAUUGGAGCUGAGACACAGUCCAAACUCCUACGGGAGGCAGCAGUGGGGAAUAUUGCACAAUGGGGGAAACCCUGAUGCAGCGACGCCGCGUGAACGAAGAAGGUAUUCGUAUCGUAAAGUUCUGUCCUAUGGGAAGAUAAUGACAGUACCAUAGAAGAAAGCUCCGGCUAAAUACGUG
rnacentral:rRNA from 1 species